rnacentral:rRNA from 1 species
UACGUAGGGAGCGAGCGUUGUCCGGAUUUACUGGGUGUAAAGGGUGCGUAGGCGGCUUUGCAAGUCAGAAGUGAAAUCCAUGGGCUUAACCCAUGAACUGCUUUUGAAACUGCAGAGCUUGAGUGGAGUAGAGGUAGGCGGAAUUCCCGGUGUAGCGGUGAAAUGCGUAGAGAUCGGGAGGAACACCAGUGGCGAAGGCGGCCUGCUGGGCUCUAACUGACGCUGAGGCACGAAAGCGUGGGUAGCAAACAGG